rnacentral:rRNA from 1 species
CCUACGGGAGGCUGCAGUGGGGAAUAUUGGACAAUGGGCGAAAGCCUGAUCCAGCCAUGCCGCGUGUGUGAAGAAGGCCUUCGGGUUGUAAAGCACUUUCAGUGGGGAAGAAAGCCUUGGGGCUAAUACCCUCGAGGAAGGACAUCACCCACAGAAGAAGCACCGGCUAACUCCGUGCCAGCAGCCGCGGUAAUACGGAGGGUGCGAGCGUUAAUCGGAAUUACUGGGCGUAAAGCGCGCGUAGGCGGUCUGAUAAGCCGGUUGUGAAAGCCCCGGGCUCACCCUGGGAACGGCAUCCGGAACUGUCAGGCUAGAGUGCAGGAGAGGAAGGUAGAAUUCCCGGUGUAGCGGUGAAAUGCGUAGAGAUCGGGAGGAAUACCAGUGGCGAAGGCGGCCUUCUGGACUGACACUGACGCUGAGGUGCGAAAGCGUGGGUAGCAAACAGGAUUAGAUACCCCUGUAGUC